rnacentral:lncRNA from 1 species
GAGAUUGUGGUCGGUCGUCCGGUCGGUCCCGUACGACUUCUACAAUGGUGGUUCUGAAGCCAGAAUUCAUUGUGCAAUCGAUUCCUUCUCACACACUUUUCAAACCCUAGGUUUAUUCACGCUAUCACAGCUCCGAUUAACCUUCACCGUUCCGAUCAUCUUCUCUGACGAAUGGAUACAUCUGCAUCUGCAACAUCUUCAUCAAACUCGCAUAUUAUUUUAUGAUGAUGAACUUAGGUAUUAUUCAUUUAUGAACCAUCUGAGACAGAACCAGGGGUUUAUCUUAAUCCAUAUGAAAAUGUGAUUUGUACCAAAUGUGUAUACCGGGUUUUGUUUUCUCUAGCCAAUUUGAUUUGAAAAUGUCGAGCUAUGAUGCGUAAGCUAAGAUGAAAGGCUAUGAUGGUUGCUUGAGCCUCUGUAGUUGGCUAAGAAACUCUGUAUAUGUGGUGCUUGAUGGAAUGCUUUAAAGUUGUGAUGAUCGUUGUAAUUUGAGGGGAAAUCGAAGAUCCAGGUAGCAUCUUGGCAGGGCAAGACCCAGAUGGCAUAGUUUCACUGGGCAACUGUGUGUUUGCAGCCAUGUUGUUACCAGGGUGUUAUAUGUGUUCAUCCCUCAAUUACAUGUCCGAGCUUUUUAAGGUUGUUUUGAUAAACCAGGGGUUGUGUUUUAGGGUACAUCGAGCAUCCGGGUAGCAUGUUGGUGAGGCAACAUCCAGAUGGCAUAGUGCUCACUUUGCAACUGUGUGUUUGCAGCGAUGGCGUAACCCGUUCUUAGAUGUGUUCAUCCCUCGAUUACAUAUCCGAGCUUUCAAGGUUCCAAUGCACAAACACAUUCACAUCUCGAUAACACUUUUUUUGGCAGUUGUCAUGUAAUAUCAAAUAUUGUAUCUACUUCUGGGCUAUGAUGAUGUGUUUUAGUUAAAGAAACUGAUACUUUAGUGUUUAUUGGCGUGGCAAAUGAGGUCUUUAACCUCUUAGUGUGCAGCCAACGCGAGUAAUUUUUGUUUCAUCAACAUGUUUGAGCCUACACUGUUGCUGGUGUGCAACAUGUGAUGGACCGCUUGACUCUUUAAUUGAAGAGAACUUAUGUUCUUCUGGCACGAUGAUUUCAACUAACAGUGGGGGAAGCAACAACUCAGAUUUCGUUUCUUGGUAUGAUUUAUUGCUAUUCGAAAUGGGCAUUCUGCUGUCUUAG